AUUUUAUUUUUCUAAUAUAUUUUAGCUGCUAUAAUAUUAAUAUCAAGUAGGCUGUCUCUUCUAUACUAAAAUUACAGAGGCCAUCAACGCUUUUCUACGCUUUUACAAAGUAAUGAUUCUCUGUGUAUGUCUGUUCCUAAUUUUCUUUUGGUGUCUAACUUCGAACAGGCACAGACGGUUACCAAAAAUAUAUGCAAAUACAUGCUUCUUUAUAAAAUCGUUGAUAAGCAUUUCCCCAAAGGUGCACCAUUAUUUCCUUCCAAUGAAUGGAAGCUCUAGCUCUCUGAUUCAACUUGAAUCAAACAAUGGAAAAUCAGGCUAAAAUGUUUACUAACAGCUAAGAGUGGCUAUAAAGGCUGGUAAGACACUAGGCAGCUUCUCACUCAUAGAAUUUCCUAAAGAGGGAAACAGAACCUAAGGAGCUGUGGCUCCAUGGAAACAAACUUGCCUAGUAUCCAUGAGGAUGCAGGUUCAAUCCCCAGCCUCACGCAGUGGGUCAAGGAUGCCAUGAGCUGCAGUGUAGGUCGCAAACUUGUCUCAUAGUCCGCAUUGCUGUGGCUGUAGCAUAGGCUGGCAGCUACAGCCCCAAUGUGACCUGACUCCUAGACUGGGAACUUCCAUAUGCCGUGGGUGCCGUCCUAAAAAAGAAAAAAAAGGGGGGAGGGGGGAACAGAACCUAACUAGAGUAGGUUGUUGCAGUUUAGAGGUCAGUAGAAAGGAAAAGUGCCCUCUGCAGGAAGGCCAGUCCUGGAUUUACAUCCUGCCUCCACCAUGUGGUUAGUGAGGCCCGAGACGCCCUACCUUCUAGAGCUUCAGUGGGUAGAGAGUCAGUGUGGCUUAAGUGCCCAGCCCCCCAGCACAGAUCUCUCCUCCAAGCUCCAGGCUGCCUUGAGGGCAAUGAAAACUCAACACUCCAUCACCUCCAUCUCCCCUCCACGGCCCGCUGCUGGGCCCUUCUCAGUAUCUUCCCAGCACACCCAUCUCCCUCCAUCUCCUCUGCUGCCACCCCGUCUGAGACACCAACCGUCCUCUGGGCAAAUGCAAUUGCCUCCCAUCUGCUUUCCCCAAAUCUACCUUUGAAACCCCUUUGGAGUCCUCUCCAUGCUCUCGGAUGAAGGACCAAGGUCCUUAAUAGGAUCUACAACGUCUUGCAAAGUCAACCCUUUCCUGCCUCCCCAGCCUCACCUUCCUCCAUCCUUCCACUCCAGCCACAGUCCUUCCUGCAAGCGGGGCUUUGCACACGCCGCUCCUUUGCUUCGCGUGGUAAGACCUUUUGGGUUGUCACUGCAGGGGCUCGAGUCGUUGCUGAUGUGGGUUCGAGCCCUGGC
rnacentral:lncRNA from 1 species